rnacentral:rRNA from 1 species
UACGAAGGGGGCUAGCGUUGCUCGGAAUUACUGGGCGUAAAGCGCGCGUAGGCGGACCUGCAAGUCGGGGGUGAAAGCCCGAGGCUCAACCUCGGAACUGCCUUCGAUACUGCGGGUCUCGAGUCCGGGAGAGGUGAGUGGAAUUCCUAGUGUAGAGGUGAAAUUCGUAGAUAUUAGGAAGAACACCAGUGGCGAAAGGCGGCUCACUGGCCCGGUACUGACGCUGAGGCGCGAAAGCGUGGGGAGCAAACAGG